UAAUUGCUGUUUUAAAAAUA
rnacentral:miRNA from 1 species